rnacentral:lncRNA from 1 species
CAGAUCCUGAGCUGAAUUCUGAUUCUGGAUAGGCAAUGGUUCAACAGAAUGAAGAGCAUAAUCAGGUCCAAAGUACUCGUAAUACUCAUUGUCAGGCAAUUUAUUUUCAAGCUCUACUCCAACUGCAACUGAUGUCUGCAGAUAUUGAAGACGUAGUUCAACCUUAGCGCAACUUGCAAGACAAGUAAACAGUAAUCGGUGAUAAUCCAAAAACGGGAAAAAAAAACAUCAAAGUACAGAGAUAGAGACAGGCCUCAUAGGCCCAGCACCGGGCAACGUUUCGAAUUGAAUAACCUCCACCGCCCAAUACCAUCAGAGGGACAUUGAAAGACCUGAGGAAUCGAAGGCAAUCUGCAUGGCCUUUGACAGAUAAGUUGAAACGGCCCA